UAGAUGCGAUCUGGUUUCCCUGAUACAU
rnacentral:sRNA from 1 species